AAUAAUAGCAUUGUAGUCUUAUUUGAGUUCAGAAAAUUGGCGCCCCUUUAUGUAAUCCGUCUUGUGCCUAAAAUGCAGGUGAGGACUGCAUCUCAAUCUAGAGCUACAAAAUCCGAUGUUGCUAGUGUUAAGGGGACAAUCUCAAAUCAAGCAUAAAAAGACAUGCCAAGAAAACCAAAUAGAAGUCACAGCGAUAUUUCGUUAACACACAAAAAAAAAAGAAGCCCAGAUUGGACGCACCUGGCACUCUUUUGUGUCCAACUGCCAGAAUGCCAAAGCCAGAGAUAACUUGCUUUGUAUAGGUUUCUUCGGGUUCAAAAGCUAAUGUACUUAACCAACAUAAAAGCACUGAACAACAACUAAUAGCAAGAAAGGUAGUCACGUCCCGUGCUUCCUGUACAGAGAAAGCUAGCCAUAGACCAAUUUCUUGUGUCUACUCGAUAAAGUUCAGACGUCGUAUAAAACCUAAAAGAAGUUUUUGAUAUCGAUUUUAGUUCUUUAUGAAGCUAGAGGAGAAAGUGCAUGCCAAAGAGGAAGAAAUACAUCAGCUCCAGGCAAGAACCCAGGAAAAGAAAGAAGCAGAGAUCAAACAGCUACGGAGAAAUUUCAAUUUCAAAGAAACUCCCAUGCCUGCUUUCUACCAUGAACCUAGUUGCCGCUCAGUAAAAAACGAGGAGUUAGCAAGUAAAACUAAAUCCAGUAAAUAAUAAAGCAGGCCUUCGACUGUAGGGGCUAGAGCUACUAGUGCAAUAGAGAACACUGUUCGUUGUUCAAGGGCAGAAGUUUAUAAUAGAUGUUUCACUAAUGAACGUCUAAAUGUGGCCGAUUCACCAUAAGUUUCAGAAGUAACCGUUCAUUCUUCAGCAGAGUUAUUAGACAGCAGCGUGCCGUCUUCAGCUCCAACAAGCAAAACAUCCAAGCAAACCUAAUCAAAUUGAAUGGUAACUCAAAAGAGAGCGCAAGAGAAAAGGCUGGUCGCAAAUUCUCCAAGAUUAAGAACAUCAGAUUGUAUCAAGAGGAACAAGGACUUUAAAGCUGAAUACAAAACAAAGGUUGUUGCGCGAAGAACAGGAAACAAUGCAAUGAGAAAGGAUAUUAGAAGUGUGGACUUGAGCCAUAGUACAAGAGUGGGCCGUUUAGCUGUUGGUGUUGCUUCCUAGACACCGUCAUGCUAUUUAGUUAUUUCUGUUGGUCUGAAUCUUCUUAUAUUCUCAGCAUAGCAAAGAUGAUUGGUCUCGUAUUUGAGACGAUUUACUUAGUGAGUAGGUUAGCAUUUCUGUUAGAUAUGCUGCAUAUAAUUAUCUCUAGUUUUAGAUAGAUAAUGUCUUUAAGCCAAGUUCUUGAUAUAUACCAUAAAUGUUGUGCUAUUAAAGAUCAA